AGAGUUUGAUCCUGGCUCAGGACGAACGCUGGCGGCGCGCCUAACACAUGCAAGUCGAACGGGGUGCGUUCGAAUGAAGUUUUCGGAUGGAAUUUGGAUGUACCUAGUGGCGAACGGGUGAGUAACACGUGAAUAACCUGCCCUGGAGUGGGGGACAACAGUUGGAAACGACUGCUAAUACCGCAUAAGCCCACAGAGUCGCAUGGCUCAGGGGGAAAAGGAGCAAUUCGCUUCAGGAUGGAUUCGCGUCCAAUUAGCUAGAUGGUGAGGUAACGGCCCACCAUGGCGACGAUUGGUAGCCGGACUGAGAGGUUGAUCGGCCACAUUGGGACUGAGACACGGCCCAGACUCCUACGGGAGGCAACAGUGGGGAAUAUUGCACAAUGGGGGAAACCCUGAUGCAGCGACGCCGCGUGGAGGAAGAAGGUUUUCGGAUUGUAAACUCCUGUCGUUAGGGACGAUAAUGACGGUACCUAACAAGAAAGCACCGGCUAACUACGUGCCAGCAGCCGCGGUAAAACGUAGGGUGCAAGCGUUGUCCGGAAUUACUGGGUGUAAAGGGAGCGCAGGCGGACCGGCAAGUUGGAAGUGAAAACUAUGGGCUCAACCCAUAAAUUGCUUUCAAAACUGCUGGCCUUGAGUAGUGCAGAGGUAGGUGGAAUUCCCGGUGUAGCGGUGGAAUGCGUAGAUAUCGGGAGGAACACCAGUGGCGAAGGCGACCUACUGGGCACCAACUGACGCUGAGGCUCGAAAGCAUGGGUAGCAAACAGGAUUAGAUACCCUGGUAGUCCAUGCCGUAAACGAUGAUUACUAGGUGUUGGAGGAUUGACCCCUUCAGUGCCGCAGUUAACACAAUAAGUAAUCCACCUGGGGAGUACGACCGCAAGGUUGAAACUCAAAGGAAUUGACGGGGGCCCGCACAAGCAGUGGAGUAUGUGGUUUAAUUCGAAGCAACGCGAAGAACCUUACCAGGGCUUGACAUAUAGAGGAAUAUAUUAGAGAUAGUAUAGCUCUUCGGAGUCUCUAUACAGGUGGUGCAUGGUUGUCGUCAGCUCGUGUCGUGAGAUGUUGGGUUAAGUCCCGCAACGAGCGCAACCCCUAUGGUUAGUUGCCAGCAUUUAAGAUGGGAACUCUAGCCAGACUGCCGGUGAUAAAUCGGAGGAAGGUGGGGACGACGUCAAAUCAUCAUGCCCUUUAUGUCCUGGGCUACACACGUACUACAAUGGUUGUAACAGAGGGAAGCAAAAUAGUGAUAUGGAGCAAAACCCUAAAAGCAACCUCAGUUCGGAUUGAAGGCUGAAAUUCGCCUUCAUGAAGCUGGAAUUGCUAGUAAUGACAGGUCAGCAUACUGCCGUGAAUACGUUCCCGGGC
rnacentral:rRNA from 1 species